rnacentral:lncRNA from 1 species
AUCACAAUGAAUUCUGACUGAGUUUGAGAUCAAAAUUGUACAGUCAUUAGUGAAGCCAGUUUUCAAGCACAGAUCCUCUAUGCCCCAAGGAUCAGGCAUAUUACUUGAACACACUACAAGAUAAGUUCUUUGUUCAUUAGUUCCAACAGGCUCCAACAAAGACACCAGGGUCCAGAGAACUCCUGUGGAAAGACAUAGAUGGAUGACCUCACCAUCAUUUCAAAGGCUCAGAUGCCAUUUCGGGCAUUUCUAACUUCACAUGCGAGUAAGUUUGUAAGGCACAUAAAUGUAGAUCAUUUUCUUCUUGCUGCUGUGCAGUGUUAAUUUCAGCUUGCAUCUAAAAUUGUCAUCUCUUCUUUCCUCGUCUUCACUGGCAUCUCUCUUAAAGGAGCACCUGUUUUCCUGCCACGGUCUUAGUUCAGGCUUUUCUUAUGGAAUUUUGCAACCUCCAAACAGGCUUUGCCGGUGUUCUAUAUUGUGGUCAAGAAGGGCAGUUGUGACGUAGCCUGUUCAGCUCUGCUUUCUCCCAGGUGUCCUGAACUCCAUGCUGUUUCCUGAAUGGAAAAUAUCACCAGCCCUUCUCGUCUGGCCUCUGUUCUGCUUCUCCCUGUGAGGCUCCUUGUGGAAGCAGCAGAGGUCUGUUGCGUGAUAGGGGAGCAAAAGAGAGGAUGAAGCCCCCUUCCCUUCAACACCUCCCUGUGCUUAAACCAUGUUCAAAAACUUCGGCAUCAAAGUUACCCCUGGAGGCCAUGUAUGAAGAUGUGAAAACCAAGUCAAACAAGAAUAAACAAAAGCCAUGUGUACGCGAGGGAGCUGUUGGAGACGCGAUUCCGAGAUCCUGUCUUCAGAAGUCUUAUUAA